rnacentral:rRNA from 1 species
GACGAACGCUGGCGGCGCGCCUAACACAUGCAAGUCGAACGGAGUCAAGAGGAGCUUGCUUUUCUUGACUUAGUGGCGAACGGGUGAGUAACGCGUGAGUAGCCUGCCCUGGAGUGGGGGACAACAGUUGGAAACGACUGCUAAUACCGCAUAAGCCCACGGAUCCGCAUGGAUCUGCGGGAAAAGGAUUUAUUCGCUUCAGGAUGGACUCGCGUCCAAUUAGCUAGUUGGUGAGGUAACGGCCCACCAAGGCGACGAUUGGUAGCCGGACUGAGAGGUUGAACGGCCACAUUGGGACUGAGACACGGCCCAGACUCCUACGGGAGGCAGCAGUGGGGGAUAUUGCACAAUGGGGGAAACCCUGAUGCAGCGACGCCGCGUGGAGGAAGAAGGUUUUCGGAUUGUAAACUCCUGUCGUUAGGGACGAUAAUGACGGUACCUAACAAGAAAGCACCGGCUAACUACGUG